AACGAACGCUGGCGGCGUGCCUAACACAUGCAAGUCGAGCGCGAAUGGAGCAAUCCUAGUAGAGCGGCGCACGGGUGCGUAACACGUGGGUAAUCUGCCUCAAAGCCCGGGAUAACCUGCCGAAAGGCAAGCUAAUACCGGAUAAGCCUACGGACUCUUCGGGGUCUGAAGGAAAAGGUGGCCUCUGUAUACAAGCUAUCACUUUGAGAUGACGCCCGCCGGCCCAUCAGC
rnacentral:rRNA from 1 species